GCGCGCACAGACGACCGGGCUGCUGUGAGGAGCGCGAGAGAGAGCGCGGUGUCUGUCCUCUCGCGGCUGUGUGAGCUCUCGCCCAGACGCCUUUCCCCCCUCCGUUCGCUCAAAAUAAACAUCUGCUGCUAGGAGCGGCGCUCAGACGCCCGAGUGCGUGCUCCCAACUCCCGCCGCACAAAACUUGCAUCCUGACUCACACCGAGGGGAUUUACAAACGCACAGCAGGAGCGGCUGCUCUCCACGGAAAAUCUGGGGACGUCCACUUAUUCUCCCAAAGAAAGGGCUUUGUACAGCCAAGGUCAAUGAGGACAGACAAUACCACCAGUGUCUCAGCGGAUGAAGAGGGG